rnacentral:ncRNA from 1 species
CAAAUUACAUAGAAUUAGAUUUAGAAAUCAGCAUCAUAUGACCUCAAAAUUUAAAUAUAAAUAAAAAGAACAUGACAUUAAAUAUAAUAAUUUCAAUUACACACUGCCUGUCGCUACUACUGAUUGAAUGAUUUAGUGAGGUCUUUGGACUGGCUCUCUAAGCGGCUUUCGGGUUGCGUAGGCGUGCCGAAAAGAUGACCAAACUUGAUCAUUUAGAGGAAGUAAAAGUUGUAACAAGGUUUCCGUAGGUGAACCUGCAGAAAGAUCAUUA